ensembl:rRNA 5S_rRNA 5S ribosomal RNA
GUCUACUGCCGUAUCACUUUGAAUGUGCUUGAUCUUGGAAGCUAAGGAGGGUCAGACCUGGUUAAGACUUGGUAUGGGAGACCACGUGGGAAUACCAGGUGCUGUAGGGU